rnacentral:rRNA from 1 species
GACGAACGCUGGCGGCGUGCCUAAUACAUGCAAGUCGAACGCAGUGGGGACGGGUGAGUAACACGUGGGUACCCUCCCAUCAGAGGGGAUUACACUUGGAAACAGGUGCUAAACCGAUACUGAUGGAUGGACCUGCGGUGCAUUAACUAGUUGGUGAGGUACCGGCUCACCAAGGCCACGAUGCAUAGGCGACCUGGGAGGGGAAUCGGCCACACUGAGGCUGAGACACGGGCCAGAGUCCUACGGGAGGCGACAGUAGGGAAACGUCGGCGAGUAACGAAGGUCGAGCCGAGCAACGCCGCGUGAGGGAAAAGGGUUUUCGGAUCGUGAAACUCUAUUGUUAGAAGAGCGGUAUCUAACCAGAAAGCCACGGCUAACGACGUGCCAGCAGCCGCGGUAAUAC